UGUAAGUUAGUGGCGGACGGGUGAGUAACGCGUGGGUAACCUGCCUUGUACUGGGGGACAACAGUUGGAAACGACUGCUAAUACCGCAUAAGCGCACAGUACCGCAUGGUACGGUGUGAAAAACUCCGGUGGUAUGAGAUGGACCCGCGUCUGAUUAGGUAGUUGGUGGGGUAACGGCCUACCAAGCCGACGAUCAGUAGCCGACCUGAGAGGGUGACCGGCCACAUUGGGACUGAGACACGGCCCAA
rnacentral:rRNA from 1 species